GUUCAAGGUGGCUGAAUCAUGCAGUGGGGCCUGGUGGGAGGAAUGUGGGGGUAAAUGGCACACAUACCACCUUUGCGAGUGUCUCUUGGAGUUCUAGGCCUUUGUGAACUGUUGUUAGCACUGUGCAAGUGCUUACAGUGGUCUCACUGUCCAAGACUCCCCCACUUACUGCCUUGCCAUGUGGUCCUUUCCACGAGUGCUUCUGCUACUACAUCAUCCACUAGAGCGACCCCCAGCAGAGCCCUGCGGACCAGCACCAUGUUCUCCAAUCGCCGUGGCUGUGAUUUAUGUAAGUCUUAAUCAAACACCAGCCUCGGAUGUUUUGUUAUAGAGUACAGAAGAGUCUGAAGAUAAUUAACUGCAUCAGAGGCCCUUCUCCCUUAGAGGCA
rnacentral:lncRNA from 1 species